rnacentral:lncRNA from 1 species
GCAAGUCACUUGAGUUUAGCUUUGUAGACUUAGAAGCAUUGACACGAAGAUAAUAUCUUUUUUUUUUUUGUGUUUCUCUUAUUUUAGCUAUUUUUUUGUAGGUCAACAAGAAGGAUUUGUUCGUGUUUAAGAAGAUGAUCCACGCAUGAAGAAGACAAUCUUGUGUUGUGAGGGGAUGGGUACUCAUCCUUGCCCGACUAUCGGAGAGAUUACUCUAAAUGUGGUCCAAUUCUUGGAGAGAUUACUCUAAAAAUGGCCCGAUUCUUGGAGAGAUUACUCUCAAUGUGGUCCCAUUCUUGGAGAGAUUACUCUCAAAAUGACUCGAUUCUUAGAGAAUACUCUGAGUGUGGCCUGAUUCAUGGAGAUAUUACCCUCAAAAUGGCCUGAUUCUUGGAGGGAUUACUCUCAAAAUGGCCUGAUUCUUGGUGAGAUUACUCUCAAUGUGUCCUAAUUCUUGGAGAUAUUACUCUCAAUGUGGCCCAAUUCUUGGAGAGAUUACCCGCAAAAUGGCCCCAUUAUUGAAGAUAUUGCUCUCAAUGUGGCCUAAUUUUUGGAGAGAUUACUCUCAACAUAGCCCAACUACCGGAGAGAUUACUCUCAAUGUGGACCAAUUCUUGGAGUGAUUACUCUCAAAAUGGCCCGACUACCAGAGAGAUUACUCUCAAUGUGGCCCAAUUCUUGGAGAUAUUACUCUCAAAAUAGCCCGACUACCGGAGAGAUUACUCUCAAUGUGGCCCAAUUCUUGCAGAGAUUACUCUCAAAAUGGCCCUACUACCAGAGAUAUUACUCUGAUUGUGGCCCAAUUCUUGGAGAUAUUACUUUCAAAAUGACCGGAUUCUUGGAGAGAUUACUCUCAAUGUGGCACAAUUCUUGGAGAGAUUACCCUCAAAAUGGCCCGAUUCUUGGCGAGAUUACUCUAAAAAUGACCCGAUUCUUGGCGAGAUUACUCUAAAAAUAGCCCGAUUCUUGGAGAGAUUACUCUCAAUGUGGCCUAAUUCUUGGAGAAAUUACUCUCAAAAUAGCCCGACUACCGGAGAGAUUACUCUAAAUGUGGCCCAAUUCUUGGAGAGAUUACUCUCAAAAUGGCCCGACUACCAGAGAGAUUACUCUCAAUGUGGCCCAAUUCUUUGAGAGAUUACUUUCAAAAUGACCCGAUUCUUUGAGAGAUUACUCUAAAUGUGGCAUAAUUCUUGGGGAGAUUACCCUCAAAAUGGCCCGAUUCUUGGAGAUAUUACUCUCAAAAUGGCCUGAUUCUUGGAGAGAUUACUCUCAGUGUGGCCUAAUUCUUGGAGAGAUUACACUCAAAAUAGCCCAACUACCGGAGAGAUUACUCUCAAAAUGGCUCGACUAGUAGAGAGAUCACUCUCAAAAUGGCCCGAUUCUUGAAGAGAUUACUCUCAAUGUGUCCCAUUUCUUGGAGAGAUCACUAUCAAAAUGGCCCGACUACUGGAGAGAUUUCUCUUAAUAUGGCCCAAACUAUCGGUGAUGCCAAAAUUAAGGUGCAGAGGGACUUAUAUGUCCACCUUAAGAUUGAAAAGUUAUAGUUUAUUUUAAGGACAAACCAACGAAGAAGCCAAGUAAUGGUGCAAGCGACUUAUAUGUCCAUCUUAAGAUUGGAAAGUGAUAGUUCCUUUUAAGGAAAAACCCACGAAGAGGCCAACAUAAGGUGCAAAGGGUCUUAUAUGUCCACCUUAAGAUUGGAAAGUUAGAAAGCUUCAACAUGAAGACGACAUCGACAUAAACACUUGGAAAACUUUAAAGAUUUGGUGGACUUUUCAGACUUCAUCUCGAACAUUCAGAGGGCUUAAAUAAUUCAAUUUUAAGAUUCUCAAAUUUGAAGACUUCAACUUGGGGGCUUAAAUAUUUCAACUUUUAAGAUUGGUGAAUUUGAAUAAUUCAACUUGAAGACCGACGGACUUGAAGACUUCAACUUUGAGACCUGGAGGGCCUAAAUAUUUCAACUUGAAGAUCGCCAAAUUUGAAGAGUUCAACUUGAACAGCGACGAACUUGAUGACUUCAACUUUGAGACAUGGAAGGCCUAAAUAUUUCAACUUGAAGAUCGCCAAAUUUGAAGGCUUCAACUUGAAGAGCGACAGACUUGAAGACUUCAACUAUAAGACUUGGAGGGCAUAAAUAUUUCAACUUGACGAUCGGCUUAUUCGGAUACUUCAACUUGAAGACCGACGGAGUUGAAGAUUUUAACUUGGGGACUUCAAGUUGAGUACCGACGUACUUAAAUAUAUCAAUUUACCAUGGAGGGUUGCCGCUUUUAUAUCAAAUGAGAUCAAAGAUCCAUAAGAGAAUUGAAUUUCAUCUUGAUUUUGCAUUACACCACACUUCACUCGGACAACAAUUGGAGCAAUAUGUAUCUUUUGAACUUAUGGGACUACUUCGAAUGUAACUCUAACCUGCCUACGUACCUCGUCAAAGAGGAUCAGGUCACACUGUAGUUCAGACAGUGUAUAUUUUUUUUACAUCCUAACUUUUUCCUAGGCCGGCUCUUUCGAGAUUUCAACCUAGCAGACUUUUUUUUGGGUCGUACACAGUUUAUACUCUUGCGGGCUAGGAGUGUAGCAACAUGCAGUUUAGGCUCGUGCAUAAAGGAGCAUCAUGACUAGUAGUUAAGGUUUGUAAGUCGAGGAGUGUUGAAACUUCAAGGAUAAUACUUCUUCAAAAACUUGCCAUUGAUGGGGCCAAUUCUCAUACAAUCUGCAUCAACCAGCUUGUAAGCCCCACUUGAAUAAGCUUAUUGUACGACAUAUGGCCCAUCCCACUUUGAAGCGAACUUCCAAAAAUUUGUAUGGGAAGUAAUUAUGGAACUUCAUACGGCAAGGACUUGAUCUCCUACUUGAAAGGAUCUCGGACGAACCCUUUUAUUGAAGGCACUAGAUAAUCGAGCUUUAUAAUAUUCAAGACUCUGUUGAGCUUCCAAUCUCUUUUUAUCAAGAGCUUCAAAAUCUUCUAUUAAAAGUUGAGAACUUUCUUCAUCUGUGAUCCCUUCUUGAAUAGCCAGUCGUAACAAAUAUAUUUGACGUUCAAGUGGCAAGACGACUUUGACUCCAUAAAUGAGUGAAUAAGGAGUCACCUGUGUUGGCGUGCAGUGAGUUGUCCUUUAUUCCCAUAGAGCUUCUUCCAUAUGCUCAUUCCAAUAUCGUUUGGACAUGGAGAAGACUUUAUUUAACAAGUUUCAUAUAGUCUUGUUGAAUGCCUUAGCUAGACCAUUGGUGGAAACAUUGUACAUCGAAGUGUUACGUUGCUUA